rnacentral:rRNA from 1 species
AAUCUUGGUCAAUGGGCGCAAGCCUGAUCCAGCCAUGCCGCGAGAGGGAAGACGGCCUGCGGUUUGUAAACCUCUUUCGGACGGAAAGUAAUCGCGCAGGCUAAUACCCUGUGCUGAUGACGUCACCGGCUUUAGAAACACCGGAUAACUACGUGCCCGCAUCCGCGGUAAGACGUAGGGUGCGAGCGUUAAACGGAAUUACUGGGCGUAAAGCGUGCGCAGGCGGUUGAUUAAGACAGGCGUGAAAUCCCCGGGCUUAACCUGGGAACUGCGCUUGUGACUGGUCAGCUAGAGUACGGCAGAGGGGGGUGGAAUUCCACGUGUAGCAGUGCAAUGCGUAGAGAUGUGGAGGAACACCGAUGGCGAAGGCAGCCCCCUGGGCCGAUACUGACGCUCAUGCACGAAAGCGUGGGUAGCAAACAGG